UUGACGGAGAGUUUGAUCCUGGCUCAGAGCGAACGCUGGCGGCGUGGAUAAGGCAUGCAAGUCGAGCGAUCCUGCAGCAAUGCGGGAAAGCGGCAAACGGGUGCGUAACGCGUAGGUAACCUACCCUCAAGUGUGGGACAACCCAACGAAAGAUGGGCUAAUACCACAUAGGCUCACGGGGUCGCAUGAUCCUGCGAGGAACGGUGGCCUCGACCGAAAGGUUGCCAUCGCUUGAGGAGGGGCCUGCGUCCCAUCAGCUAGUUGGUAGGGUAACGGCCUACCAAGGCGUAUGACGGGUAGCUAGCCUAAGAGGGCGGUUAGCCACACUGGGACUGAGACACUGCCCAGACUCCUACGGGAGGCUGCAGUCGAGGAUCUUUGGCAAUGGGCGAAAGCCUGACCAUGCGACGCCGCGUGCGGGAUGAAGGCCUUCGGGUCGUAAACCGCUGUUACGAGGGACGAACGUCCCGCCUGCAAACAGUGGGCGGGACUUGACGGUACCUCGAGAGAAAGCCACGGCUAACUCCGUGCCAGCAGCCGCGGUAAUACGGAGGUGGCAAGCGUUGCUCGGAUUUACUGGGUGUAAAGGGCAUGUAGGCGGUCCCGUAAGCCCUACCUGAAAUGCUCUGGCUCAACCAGAGUCCGUGGUAGGGGACUGCAGUACUUGAGGACAGCAGAGGCGAAUGGAAUUCCCGGUGUUAGGGUGAAAUCUGUAGAGAUCGGGAGGAACUCCAGUGGCGAAGGCGAUUCGCUGGGCUGUUUCUGACGCUGAGAGGCGAAAGCUAGGGGA
rnacentral:rRNA from 1 species